GGGGGUGAAUAGGCUCGACUUAGGCACGUCGGGUAAGAGCAGCAUGCCGCGGACGCAUGGUUUGCCGCGUUAUCAACCCGUGCACAAUCUAAACGCAAACGACGUAAGUCGCACAAUGGCGACAGAGAGGUAUAACGCAGUACCUGCGUUUGCCUUUCCUGUUAUGCCAGCGUUAAGCCUCGUUCCUUAAAGGUAACGAGCCUCAAUCCGGCCUGCCUAAGGGUUGGAAUUGAGCGGCUAAUUUAGGCUGGUUCCGGCGGGGUAGCCUUUAGCGCCGGGGCAAGAGGCAGUAAAAGGCUGCGCCCUUAAAAAUUCUGUCUGCCGAAGUUUUAAGGGCCAAGAUAAAAGACAGACUAAGCCCUCCUGCGCCUGCAUGGGCUUCGGAGGGUCCGCCGAAGCUGAGCACGAAAGUGCAUCAGCGUAGGCGGACAUGUAGCGGCUUUUAUCAGUCUGCUUAGGGACGGCGGUUGCGAUACCGCCCACCUCCACCA
rnacentral:tmRNA from 1 species